rnacentral:rRNA from 1 species
GAUGAACGCUAGCUACAGGCUUAACACAUGCAAGUCGAGGGGAAACGAUAUUGGAAGCUUGCUUCCGAUAGGCGUCGACCGGCGCACGGGUGAGUAACGCGUAUCCAACCUGCCCACCACUUGGGGAUAACCUUGCGAAAGUAAGACUAAUACCCAAUGAUAUCUCUAGAAGACAUCUGAAAGAGAUUAAAGAUUUAUCGGUGAUGGAUGGGGAUGCGUCUGAUUAGCUUGUUGGCGGGGUAACGGCCCACUAAGGCGACGGUCAGUAGGGGUUCUGAGAGGAAGGUCCCCCACAUUGGAACUGAGACACGGUCCAAACUCCUACGGGAGGCAGCAGUGAGGAAUAUUGGUCAAUGGGCGAGAGCCUGAACCAGCCAAGUAGCGUGCAGGAUGACGGCCCUAUGGGUUGUAAACUGCUUUUAUAAGGGAAUAAAGUGAGAGUCGUGACUCUUUUUGCAUGUACCUUAUGAAUAAGGACCGGCUAAUUCCGUGCCAGCAGCCGCGGUAACAC